rnacentral:piRNA from 1 species
UCUGAAUGUCAGAACUAGCCUUGGGCAUAUCC